rnacentral:rRNA from 1 species
AGUGAACGCUGGCGGCGUGCUUAACACAUGCAAGUCGAACGAGAACGGAAUAUAGCUUGCUAUAUUUGUCAGCUAAGUGGCGCACGGGUGAGUAAUGUAUAGAUAACCUGCCCUUAAGAAAGGAAUAACAGUUGGAAACGACUGCUAAUGCCCUAUAUGCCUUUAAUACAUAAGUAUGCAAGGGAAACGCUUUAGUGCUUAAGGAUGGGUCUGUAUGGUAUCAGCUUGUUGGUGAGGUAAUGGCUCACCAAGGCUAUGACGCUUAACUGGUUUGAGAGGAUGAUCAGUCACACUGGAACUGAGACACGGUCCAGACUCCUACGGGAGGCAGCAGUGGGGAAUAUUGCACAAUGGACGAAAGUCUGAUGCAGCAACGCCGCGUGGAGGAUGACACAUUUCGGUGCGUAAACUCCUUUUAUAUAGGAAGAUAAUGACGGUACUGUAUGAAUAAGCACCGGCUAACUCCAUGCCAGCAGCCGCGGUAA